ensembl:lncRNA
GUAAGGCUGAUGCAGAUCUGUCAGUAACUCUCAGGGCCAGACCCUAACAAAACCUCCUAAUGUAGCGGCAGUCUUAAAUGGAAAUUUGAGUCACAAGAAUAAAAGAUGACUGUAAAGGAUGCAUUUGUAAGGCUCCAGUCACCGUGGCAUCUAGGCAUGAAAGAUACCUUGUGUCAGCAGGAUACGCAUCAAAGGAGUCCUUUUCUAAUGGAUAAACCUGAUAUCAAAGAACUGAAGAAACUGAACCAAAAUUUACAGGUGUCCUUGCUUUGAUCACUAAUUAAAAUGUGACUUAUACUCACGGUGUCCCUAUUACAG